CCACCUUCAAGGGAUGAACUGGAAACGGUAGAGAACAAGUUUGACGGCAUUCCUCUUAAAUUCUGUCAAGUUGAUAAUGGGCAUAUCAGCUUCCUCUCCUUUGAUAAAGUUACACUUCCUACUUUUCCCUGAUACAUAGCCGCAGGAAUGGUUUUUAGCUUUCGCCUGUUCUGUCCUGUAAAGCUCCCACUGGCUGCAUCAGGAUGUCUGCUUCUGUGCCGCUUCUCAGGGCCGAGAAAGUCGCCAGGAAAAUUUGGGUUUUCCAACUACGAUGAAUGCCACACUUUUCGGGCUGAGAAAGUUGCCAGGUUGAUCUUCAGGUUCUUCAGUUGGAAUGCUCAUGAGCAGCGAGCGUGUCAGGAAGCGAAACCAUGAUGUUUUUCCUUUGGUAACGAGGAGUGCAUCAUUUCCCGAGGCUCCCUAACACAGUAGAUGGCCUUUAACUUCUAGCUGGAACUUGCAACCUAUAGAGAUGUUCUAUAUUUCGAAAGGAAGGCGUAUCCGAUUUGCAGUCCAGAAAACAUGUUGUGUUCGAGCAAGAGAUCAUCGAACCACUGUCAUUCGGCCAGGCUAGCUCAUGUUUGAUUAGUAUUGUAUAACCAGCAGUCUGUCACUGAGGUGAUUUGCCAUAUGCGUACAAAUAAUGAUAUCAUG